rnacentral:rRNA from 1 species
CCAGCAGCCGCGGUAAUACGAAGGGUGCAAGCGUUACUCGGAAUUACUGGGCGUAAAGCGUGCGUAGGUGGCGAGACAAGUCGGAUGUGAAAGCCCGGGGCUCAACCCCGGAUGUGCAUCCGAUACUGUUUUGCUGGAGUCCGGAAGAGGAGAGCGGAAUUCCCAGUGUAGAGGUGAAAUUCGUAGAUAUUGGGAAGAACACCGGUGGCGAAGGCGGCUCUCUGGUCCGGUACUGACACUCAAGUACGAAAGCGUGGGGAGCAAACAGG